UGUAUCAACAGUACACUUGAUCUCCAGUACAGACAUAUGGUGGAACAGAAGCCUGGAUACAGGACUCAGACUCUUACUGAGUUGGCCAGGAGCAGCAGGCACCACAGCCUGUGUGUGUGCAGAUACAGUGUACUACUACCAAAUGGUGCCCAGGUUGACUGCUGUACUGCAGACUGCAAUGGCAGCUGGAAGUUUAGGUCUCCUCCUACCUGGAUCUCAUUACUUGGGCCGUUUUCAGGAUCGUUUAAUGUGGAUAAUGAUUCUGGAAUGUGGCUAUACUUACUGCUCUAUUAACAUUAAGGGGUUAGAAUUGCAGGAAACAUCCUGUCAUACUGCAGAAGCUCGCAGAGUUGAUGA
rnacentral:lncRNA from 1 species